rnacentral:rRNA from 1 species
AUUGAACGCUGGCGGAAUGCUUUACACAUGCAAGUCGAACGGCAGCACGGACUUCGGUCUGGUGGCGAGUGGCGAACGGGUGAGUAAUGUAUCGGAACGUGCCCAGUCGUGGGGGAUAACGUAGGGAAAAUUACGCUAAUACCGCAUACGAUCCAUGGAUGAAAGCGGGGGAUCGCAAGGCCUCGCGCGAUUGGAUCGGCCGAUAGCAGAUUAGGUAGUUGGUGGGGUAAAGGCCCACCAAGCCAACGAUCUGUAGCUGGUCUGAGAGGACGACCAGCCACACUGGAACUGAGACACGGUCCAGACUCCUACGGGAGGCAGCAGUGGGGAAUUUUGGACAAUGGGCGAAAGCCUGAUCCAGCCAUUCCGCGUGCAGGAUGAAGGCCCUCGGGUUGUAAACUGCUUUUGUACAGAACGAAAAGGUUUCUACUAAUACUAGGAGCUCAUGACGGUACUGUAAGAAUAAGCACCGGCUAACUACGUGCCAGCCGCCGCCGUAA